rfam:Myotis lucifugus cont2.17300, whole genome shotgun sequence.
AUCACUUCUUGGCCUUUUGGCUAAGAUCAAGUGUAGUAUCUGUUCUUAUCAGUUUAAAAAGAUGGCUAUAUGACAAUGGAGACAGAGGUUGGAGUCAUGCAUC